rnacentral:rRNA from 1 species
UACGUAGGAUGCAAGCGUUUGUCCGGAAUUAUUGGGCGUAAAGCGAACGUAGGCGGUUACUUAAGUUUGGUCUUAAAGACCGGGGCUCAACUCCGGGAAUGGACUGAAUACUGGGUGACUAGAGGAUGUCAGAGGAAAGUGGAAUUCCAAAGUGUAGCGGUGAAAUGCGUAGAUAUUUGGAGGAACACCAGUGGCGAAAGCGGCUUUCU